GAUGAAGUACGCAGCGAAAUGCGAUAAGUAAUGUGAAUUGCAGAAUUCAGUGAAUCAUCGAAUCUUUGAACGCACAUUGCGCCCGCUAGUAUUCUGGCGGGCAUGCCUGUCCGAGCGUCAUUUCAACCCUCAAGCCCCCGGGCUUGGUGUUGGGGAUCGGCGAGCCUCCGCGCCCGCCGUCCCCUAAAUCUAGUGGCGGUCUCGCUGUAGCUUCCUCUGCGUAGUAGCACACCUCGCACUGGGAAACAGCGCGGCCACGCCGUUAAACCCCCAACUUCUGAACGUUUGACCUCGGAUCAGGUAGGAAUACCCGCUGAACUUAAGCAUAUCAAUAAGCGGAGGA
rnacentral:misc_RNA from 1 species